rnacentral:tRNA from 1 species
GGGUAUGAUGUUUAACGGUAGCAUGUAUGCUUUGGGAGCAUAUCGAGUUGGUUCGAAUCCAGCUACCC